GAAAAGUCACUAUUUGUCCAAUUUGAUAUCACCCAAAACUAAGUCCUCUCUUGUGUUCCCUUGAUGGUCAGAAAGUGCUUCCUGUUUUGGGCGUUAUCGAUUGGAUAAUUCAACUUUUGACGGU
rnacentral:pre_miRNA from 14 species